AGUGAACGCUGGCGGUAGGCCUAACACAUGCAAGUCGAACGGCAGCACAGUAAGAGCUUGCUCUUACGGGUGGCGAGUGGCGGACGGGUGAGGAAUACAUCGGAAUCUACUUUUUCGUGGGGGAUAACGUAGGGAAACUUACGCUAAUACCGCAUACGGCCUACGGGUGAAAGCAGGGGAUCUUCGGACCUUGCGCGAUUGAAUGAGCCGAUGUCGGAUUAGCUAGUUGGCGGGGUAAAGGCCCACCAAGGCGACGAUCCGUAGCUGGUCUGAGAGGAUGAUCAGCCACACUGGAACUGAGACACGGUCCAGACUCCUACGGGAGGCAGCAGUGGGGAAUAUUGGACAAUGGGCGCAAGCCUGAUCCAGCCAUACCGCGUGGGUGAAGAAGGUCUUCGGGUUGUAAAGCACUUUUGUUGGGAAAGAAAAGCAGCAGGUUAAUACCCCGCUGUUCUGACGGUACCCAAAGAAUAAGCACCGGCUAACUUCGUG
rnacentral:rRNA from 1 species